UCUUCCCCUUCUGAUCCAGUCCUUUCGCAAUUAAAGCAGCAAUGUGACUCUUUCAGCGUGCCUCUUAUCACAAGGGAGACUUGGGAGUUGCCGUUGGGGAUGAGCGAAACUGCAGAACCCACAGUGGAACAGGAGUCAGGGCCUACUGCCUCCACCGAGCAAAAUUGAACAUGCUCAGCCCAUGGUCCUGCUCUGUCACUUCUAAUUACAUGCUGGGCUUCCCUGUUAAGAUCUUUCCCAUGCCCCCCCUCCCUCCAGAGGGAAAGCUCACUUCCUGGGAGAAAAAUGCUACCAGGCACCUUCACUAAACGCGCUCAAGGUAUCCUUAUGAUGGGCCCACGCCAUUCAGAGAGGAGAGAAGCAUGAAAAGAGGAAAAGGCUGCUUUGAAGGAACACUGUGGCAUCAGGAGACAGGGCCGGAGUGCCCAAUGCCAUAAUGAAGGGUGGACUCCUUUUACAUGAACAAAUCCUUUCAUCGACGAGCUUGUACAGAUGUAAAAAAGCAAAACAGGGAUAAUGUAUUAUGCACUUCAACAGAUUAAAGAAACAUGACAAUGUCUGAGCUCGCACACAAUACAUAACACUGAAACUGUGCUGAUCGUGACAAAUCCAGCAAUUAAAACGAACCCUAAACCCACUCCCCUUCUCAUUAUAAAGCUCUGAAUAUUUUGAAUAUUAUGUACAAUAAAGGUUCCAGAAAGCCUAUUGUCAGUGUACCCAGAAUUAAAUCACAUCCCCACUAGUGUGUAUCAGAACUAGAGGAGCUCAUCUGAAGUGGGUAAACAAUACAGAUAUUCAGAAAAUAAUGUAUUUCAGUUCUCUGCAGUUUUUCAAAGCAGCUCUGUGGAAACACCAUGAAUCCUCAUUCCUUUAAUAGGUCAAUGCAUCCAGUCAUUACUUCAGGAUCAGCUCGGCUCAUCAGAGGGAUUCUAAACGAAAUAGAUUCCUAGAUAUCAAACUGUGCAAGUAAUGUUUUUAUCUGUGGCUUUUUACACAGUUCUGCUACUAUAUAUUUCUUAGAGAGUCAAAGCAGCGCAAACAAGGUUUUCCAAAUUGACUACCAGUUUUUAGUGCUGUGCUCCCAUGUUCAGGCAACUCGUUUAUAAAUAGUGACAAGGUAAUCAGCUUCUUAUACUUAAAAAAGGAUAUACUGCCAAAAUUGUCUAUCCCAUUUGUGUAAGCUCUUGCAAGAAGGUGACUUUUAUUUUGUUAUUCUCACAAGGAGGGGGCAUUGUAGACUCACCAGCGCUGAUGAAUGAGGAGUAUUGUUUCUAUUUCCUUGGUCUUUAUUGUUUUUAUGAUCUCGGUCUUGGAGUAAUUCUACAUAAAGUGGUCAAAACCUGUGGUGGUACACGAUCAAGCAAACAAAUUAUAAUUCAAGUUAUUAUGUAAACACAUAACACUAGAAGUUUAAGAAUAACAACUGUAUUCCAUGUUUUCAGUGUUUAUUUUGUAGCUUGGUAUUUUUUCAUAGUUGCAUUUGGCCAAAAGAAACUCAAUAAAAACCUGAUAAUUACAAAA